GUAAGAAGUGACAGGGUACACGACAGCCAGGAAAGAAUCAAAAAGCUGUGAUACACUGCUUGAUAAAAGUAGACAUAGAAGGAAAAUUUAAAAAAUUAUGGCAUACAGGACAGGAAAGAUAUUUAAAAAUAGGGAGAGAAAAAUAGAUAAAUAGAGAUAUGGAAAGAAAAUUUUUAAAACAAUGAGGUGCAAGACAGAGAUGAAAAAAAUAAAAAUAUAUAGACAGUGAACUGUAUAAAACUAGCCAUAGAAAGAAAAUUUAAAAAGCAACUGCUUACAGGACAUACAGGAAAGAAUUAAAAAAUAGGGACAGCAAACAAACAGACACAGAAAGAAAAUGUUAAAAGUGAGAUGGUACAGGACAGAGGAUAAAAUUAAAAAACAAAGACAGUGAAUAGGUUAAAGUAGACAUAGAAAGAAAAAGUAAAAAGCAACGGGGUACACAAUAGUGAGGAAAGAAUUAAAAAACAGUGAUACACAGCUCGAUAGAAGUAGACAUAGAAGGAAAAUUUAAGAAGUGAUUGGGUACAGGACAGAAAAAAAUUUUAAAAAUAGCCACAGUGAACUAAAACUGAGAAAUAUAAAGGAAAUUUAAAAGUAUCACAGGGGCACAGGACAGAGAGAUAAAAAAUAAA